AAAUAUAAUGUGUUUUGUUUUGGUUACAAAUAACUUAAAUAUUUGUAAACUAGUUUUUGAAUCUCACUCUCCUUCCUCAAUAUUCAAAACAGAAUAUAAUCUAUAUUCAAAUGGGUUUCCAAAAUAUAAGAGAAAACCUUCCCUUUCUCUCUGGGCCCUCUCCCUCUGGUUCCUCUCCUUCCCACCGAUCGGCCCAACCCACCUUGCACCAUCUUGGCCCGUACCCCUUCGGUCCCCCUCCAUCUCCUUUUUCCUUUCGUCCUGGACAACGACAACCACGGGAGAAGCACAUGGUGGUGGUCCUCUGCUCCAACCACCACGCCAAGGACUCCGCAUCUCACCUGCUUCCCCCUUUAUCUUCAGCCUCCAGAAACCCUAGCCUCUUCCCUCCCUCGCGCCGCCACCCUCUUCUCCUCCCCUUUUCUUUUCCUCUCUCUGUAACACCACCGCCACUGCCCCGCCAUGGCGGCGCCGCUCCAGACCGUCCCCCGGCAAGCUGAAGUGCCCAGAAGAUGCGCCUCGUCAUCCUCGUUAUCUUCCUCCAAGGAAUUGACCCGGGGCUUGCUAAAUCGAUGGCAAGCUCGCCGAUUCCCCCUGCGGGUUGACACCUUCCUUCUCCAAAUCCGGCGUCACCGUUCCGUCCCUGGCCUUCCGAGCACACACACAGCUUCCAAGUGACCAGGCGCAUCUCCCACAUCCUUCAUCUCGCUUCGGUUCGUCCUCAAACGCUAGAUUCGUGCUCACCUGCAAGUCCCCGCCAUGGCCACGACCUCCGCUUUUAUCUGCUUCAAGUAGUGGCGCGGCCCAAGUUCUUUAGCAUCAACACCAACAGCGUAGUGAUCUGGCGUUGACAGAUGGUUCACCUUACGCAUGAGAUUUUCUUAAUCGUCAAGAGUGGCGCAGCUCAGCUGAUCCGCCAAUGGGCUUCGACCCAGAUCCAUCCUCCAGGCCAGCGUGCCAGGCUGCAUCUCCUCACCGGUCCGGCCCACCAGCACCACCUCGCCCGGCGCGGCAGGUAGCAGCCCAGCACGUCCAUUUUUCCCUCAUCUAUUUUAUUUUUGUUUAUCUCUCUUUUGCAAAAUGGUUUAAUUCAUAUCUUUCAAACCGUUCAUCGAAAUUAAAAGUGUUCUAUAUGAAAAUUGAUCAGAAAAACAUGAGGAACAUGAAUAUGCCAUCCAUUUAUCUGUUUGCAUCACGCAUCAUGUCGCCCGUUGAUAGUUGUGCAUUUCCACCUCACAUAUAUGCGGAGUAUUUUGGAUUUCCAACUAGGAAUUCCCCGCUCCGUUUAAUAUUGAAGUAGCGCACCCUUGCCAUGUUUUGCCAUGCUAAUCAACCCUUAACUUUGUCGAUAGAAAUGCAACUUCAACUCUAAUUGUUUGUCCGGGUUCCGAUCCCGCUUAAUAUGGAUAAGUUGCAUUGCACCAUAUUUGCCAUGCCAUGCAUAUCAUCUUGAUCAUGCUGGAUUUUCUUUAUCCGUAGUAGUAAGACUUGCAUACGUUGUUUGUUCCAGCAUUUGCUUCUUCUCGGAUAGGAUCGCGAAGUGGUGUUGUGAGAUACGACGUGUUCUUCGACAAGUUC